rnacentral:tRNA from 1 species
AAUGGUACCUCCUCAUUAAA